ensembl:lncRNA novel transcript
CUUUAUUUAAUGAACCGUUGGUGGAUACUUACCUUGGUUCCAUGACCUUGCUGUUAAGUUGAACUAAUUGACACCUACCACCGCUUGCUGGAGGUUGAGGACGCCCAGUGAGUGUGCACCCGGGCUGGAGAAGGCAGGAGGUAUGGCCCGGAAAAGAGACACAGAAAGGUGGAUGAUGCCCACCUGGCUGCCGAUGACUUCUGCACCAAGUGAGGCUGGGUCUCUGGAGCUGCCCCAGGGGCUGGACAAGCUGACCCUGCCUGGAGCCAACCUGGAGAUGCAGCCUGAGAACCUCAAGGAGGACCUGGUCUACCUGAAGAAGAACCAUGAGGAGGUGAGUUCAGCUCAGGGAAUGCAGCAGAAAUUCACCUGGAAGCAAGCGAGGCUGGGGCCCAGAACCUCCCUGGGCUGGGCCAUGCUUCCAGUCCAGUUCCCAUCCUUUAUGGAUGCCUAGCUCUGACCCUCAGAGGACCCUGGGUGAGGCCUGGAGGAGCCCUCUUCUCAAAUAGACUUCAUUUGUCCCUUGAGGCUCAGCUCACUGCAGUUAACUAACUAAU